rnacentral:rRNA from 1 species
GACGAACGCUGGCGGCGUGCUUAACACAUGCAAGUCGAACGGAAAGGCCCUGCUUGCCGGGUACACGAGUGGCGAACGGGUGAGUAACACGUGGGUGAUCUGCCCUGCACUUCGGGAUAAGCCUGGGAAACUGGGUCUAAUACCGGAUAGGAGCCAUUUUUAGUGUGAUGGUUGGAGAGUUUUUUCGGUGUAGGAUGAGCUCGCGGCCUAUCAGCUUGUUGGGGGGGUAAUGGCCUACCAAGGCGGCGACGGGUAGCCGGCCUGGGAGGGUGGACGGCCUCAUUGGGACUGAGAUACGGCCCAGACUCCUACGGGAGGCAGCAGUGGGGAAUAUUGAACAAUGGGCGCAAGCCUGAGGCAGCGACGCCGCGUGGGGGAUGACGGCCUUCGGGUUGUAAACUCCUUUCGCUAGGGACGAAGCUUUUUGUGACGGUACCUAGAUAAGAAGCACCGGCUAACUACGUG